GACAGAGGAUGCAAGCGUUAUCCGGAAUGAUUGGGCGUAAAGCGUCUGUAGGUGGCUUUUUAAGUCUGCCGUCAAAUCCCAGGGCUUAACCCUGGACAGGCGGUGGAAACUACAUGGCUAGAGUGCGUUCGGGGCAGAGGGAAUUCCUGGUGUAGCGGUGAAAUGCGUAGAGAUCAGGAAGAACACCGGUGGCGAAAGCGCUCUGCUAGGCCGCAACUGACACUGAGGGACGAAAGCUAGGGGAGCGAAUGGG
rnacentral:rRNA from 1 species